GGGCCAGGGAUUUAGCUCACU
rnacentral:miRNA from 1 species